GUUGGGGCUAUUUUUCCAGUUACUAUGCUUAUUCGAGCUUGUUUAGCUCUCUAUUGUUAGGUUUUUUUUGUUCGAAUUUGUGCUCGUUGUCGAAUUUGUGCUCAUUGUCGGUGAGAUUGCUACAACUGUUUGUCUCACAUUUGUUUGAUGUUGUGAUAAUUUGAAUUGUAACUAAAAUUUUCGAUGUUUUGGUUAUUUUACAGUAAGAACGAAGGGGAGAAUGAGGGGAUAUCCGUAAUAGGAAAUCAAACAGUGUGAGAGCCCAGGGUUGUCGUGCAAACAACUAGUGAUAUCGAUAUUCUUGAUGAUGGAUACCGUUGGAGAAAAUGUAGGCAAAAAGUGGUGAAGGGAAAUCCAAAUCCAAGGAGCUAUUACAAAUGUACAACAAUUGCCUUUUGCCCACAUUAUCCCAUUGGUUGUCAACAUUUGCCUUUUGCCCACAUUAUCCCAUUGGCUUCCCAGGUUUAUGUAUGGUAGAAUUGAGGUCAGUCACCACCUACAGCAGCGAUGCCCUUUUCCUCAACCAAAUGACUCAAGUUUCGGCUAUGUUAAGUUCAAUUUUGUAGUGUUUGCUUUGGAAAUUUUCUCGCUUUGUUUUUUUUACUUUCAGGCAUGAUCUCUGCUGAAAUUGGCUACGGGUUUGGUUUUCUAUAUUGCUGGGAAUGGAGUGUUUUGUUCAUUGUUUUAGUGAUGAAAUUUGCUAUGGGAUUGGCUUGUUAUAUUGCUGGGAAUGGAGAAUUUUGCACAUUGUAAUACUGUUGGAAUUUGCUGGGCAUUUGGAUUGUUAUAUUGCUGGAAAUCUGCAGGGUAUAGCUUGCUUAUGUAUGGUUGAGGAUAAACCAUGUUUUGUGGACUACAUUUUUAUCUUAUAUUUUGCUCUGGAGCUACAUGUCUAAUAGCUCACAAGGCUUUUGUAAUAGUUUUUGCUUCUUAGAACUUUGUAAGGGUGAGUGUUGUCUCACUUUAGAACUGAUCACUCAUUGAGAGGCGAUACCAUGUAGUUUCUUUUCCUUUAAUGGUAUUCUACUCUUCAAAAAAAUCACAAUAGCCACACAAAUCAAACUCCAUUUACAUUGGAGAUGCUUCAAGCUAACAUUGGCUAUGGAUACUCUAACUAUGAGAAUUCCUGAAUUCUUACAUGAAUUAUCAACAUCAGCAACAAUAGAGUAUGUAUCAGAAAGCGAUGAUGAACCUAGAGAAGACUUGUUCAUUGAGUCACUUUUGUGUGGAAUCAUGAGCUAGUUCAAAUGCUUUUUUCGACGCUGUACAAGUUGUUCUUUGACAAUAAUAUAUUGUAGUAAAAUGGUAGUUUUGUAUAUUCCUGAUAGGGUUUUGUGUGUAAAUCUUGAGAAGUUGGUCUUAGAGAACCUUAGUCACAUUUGUUUAUUACUAUUUUAAUUUUAUUUUGGAGGUCCUUUCAGAUUGAAAAAUAAUGGAUCUUUGAAUACUGUUGUAUUAUAAAUCUUCAAUAAGGGCGAAAGUGGUAUUUUUUAAAAAAAUCAUGAGAUUAGUCUCCUUAACCCUUCUUUAUUUGCCAAACACAAAAGAUUUAACCCAUUGUCUUAACUAUCGUAUCCAAACGAGUUUAGAAUUUUUUUAACCCUUCAUGAUGGAUUAACUAAGUUAACCCUUCUCUUUAAUCCCUCCACCUUAACCCUUUGCCAAACAGGGCCUUAGAUAAAAAAGUUAUUUUAGGAAGUAUAAAUAAGAAGAUAAAUAGGAAGUAGUUAGAAUUCUCCAACUA